rnacentral:ribozyme from 1 species
AACAAAGAAAGGAGAAAAAGAGGUAAGGAAACGCACGCUCUUUUCUCUCUUUUCUUUUGUUCACUUCACUUCUUUGUGCUGUCAUUUCUUUCUUUUUCUUUGGCUAGUUUCGUGCUUCCAUUCCUUUUCAUUACAAACUAGCCAAAGCAAAGAAAUGAAAUGAACAGAACAAAGAA